AAGCGAAAGUGAUAAGUUAGCCACCUGGGGAGUACGUUCGCAAGAAUGAAACUCAAAGGAAUUGACGGGGGCCCGCACAAGCGGUGGAUUAUGUGGUUUAAUUCGAUGAUACGCGAGGAACCUUACCAAGGCUUAAAUGGGAAUUGACAGGUUUAGAAAUAGACUUUUCUUCGGACAAUUUUCAAGGUGCUGCAUGGUUGUCGUCAGCUCGUGCCGUGAGGUGUUAGGUUAAGUCCUGCAACGAGCGCAACCCCUGUCACUAGUUGCCAUCAUUCAGUUGGGGACUCUAGUGAGACUGCCUACGCAAGUAGAGAGGAAGGUGGGGAUGACGUCAAAUCAUCACGGCCCUUACGCCUUGGGCCACACACGUAAUACAAUGGCCGGUACAGAGGGCAGCUACCUAGCGAUAGGAUGCGAAUCUCGAAAGCCGGUCUCAGUUCGGAUUGGAGUCUGCAACUCGACUCUAUGAAGCUGGAAUCGCUAGUAAUCGCGCAUCAGCCAUGGCGCGGUGAAUACGUUCCCGGGCCUUGUACACACCGCCCGUCAAGCCAUGGAAGUUUGGGGUACCUGAAGUCGGUGACCGUAACAGGAGCUGCCUAGGG
rnacentral:rRNA from 1 species